UAAGCGGGUAGUGAAAUUGUGUGGCUCAACCAUACACCCAUUACCUGAACUGCUAAGCUAGAGGAUGAGAGAGGUUAUUGGAAUUCCUAGUGUAGGAGUGAAAUCCGUAGAUAUUAGGAGGAACACCGAUGGCGUAGGCAGAUAACUGGCUCAUUUCUGACACUAAGGCACGAAAGCGUGGGUAGCAAACGGGAUUAGAUACCCCGGUAGUCCACGCCGUAAACUAUGGAUGCUA
rnacentral:rRNA from 1 species